rnacentral:lncRNA from 1 species
AACCAUGGAUUUGGUUGCUUUCAAACACAGUUUAAGUAUGUAAUUACUUAUGGAACAUAACAUUUUGGCUUUCAAAGAUUCAUUACAAACACAGUUUUACGUAUGGGUUUACUUAUACAAACUAUACAUUUUGGCUUUUAAAGACUCAUUGCAAACACUGUUUUAACUGUUGUUAUACAUACAAAUAUAAUACUUUUUAGACUUAUUAAAAGUAUUACUGUGUUAGCAGAAAACCUGUGACACUCACCAACCUUUGUGUUGACUUUCAAACUUACAUGUAUUCUCAGGGGAUCCUUAGACAAGCGUUCAGGCGGAAGAUUUGUCGUGGAUUUCAGACGACUUAGCUAUCUAGUUUUGAUAUCUGCUUACCUGUUUAAGGCAACUACUGUACUAUUACUAUCUGUAAGAACCUUGUAUUUAAACUUAAUGAUGAAAUACAAAUGCAGUUUUGUUUAUCGUUGUACCUGUGCUAUAUAUUGAGUUUAUCUGUGAUCCAUAAACUUAGUCCCACUCCCGGCGUGUUCCGCCUUGGCCGGGGGUGUGACAGAAUGGUAUCAGAGGUAAAUUGGCUAUAGAGAACUCGUAUCCUCGAAAGAGGAAUACAACUAUAGCAGAAUAGCUUUUAAUAAAAGUAUUAUUAAUAAUAACACUACUUCUUGACUACUUACGUCGUUUGAUGUCUGGCCAUCGUCUGUGCUUGGUAGUCAGGAAGAACAAACAAAAAUUAAUAAUACUACAAACCCCACCAACCAUAAUAUAUAAGAGUUUAUAUAUACUCUGACCCGUGCACAACCAACCCUAAGCAAGGAGUCUAACAGACUACAACGGUUGAAUGUUUUAGAGAUUGAAGGAUGUUCUCCAGAUUCGCUACAACAACCUAGUACCUUAGAAUCCAUACAUACAUUUUAAAACACUUACAAUUCAUUAGCAAUUAAGGUCCCCUUUCUAUCCUUUAGAAAUCUAGAGGAUUUCUAAACCAAGCACCUUUUCCUUAUCAUUUGGAAAUCUAGAGGAUUUCUAAAUCAAUCCUCUUUUUUCUUAUAAUUUAUAGGAUUUCACAAGCAAACUAUAUCAUAAAAUGCAUCCCAUGCAUACUUGUUAGGAAUUUAUAGUAUUAACAAAACUUAACAUGUCAAUUUUAAACAUAUUAGGAAAUAGCCCCACGAAAGCAACUAGGAGUUCGUCCACCGCCAACUCCCCGAGGCAACCCGAGGAGAACCCCACCAGUAACUCAAACAUCAGUGGAAACGCCAAACCAGGGAGGAGACCCAGAAGUAACAAAUGUAAACCAAACAUUCCAAAUGAAUUCCGCCAUGAUGCAGAACAUGCUCACAGAAGGAAUUGCUACGACUUUGGUAGCAUAAGAGGCAGCCCGAAAUGGAAACAUUGGAAAUAGUGGAAGUGGCACUACCGCAAUUCACCAAAACAACCCUAGACACUGCUCUUAUAAGGAUUUCAUGGGUUGCAAACCUCGAUCCUUCUACGGCACUGAAGGAGCUGUUGGUCUGGCCCGUUGGAUAGAAAAGACUGAGGCAGUCUUUCACAUCAGUGCUUGCCCCGAUGACUGUAGGGUUAAGUAUGCUACCUGCACGUUGAUGGACUCCGCCUUAACUUGGUGGAAUAACCAUGCGAAGUCCAUGGGAAUCGCUGAAGCUUAUGCCAUGGGCUGGGAAUCACUGAAGCAACUAAUGACCAAGGAGUAUUGUCCCCGACAGGAGAUACAGGCUCUAGAGCAAGAGCUUUGGAACCUUGUCAUGAAAGGAUCAGAAGUAGCUGCCUACACCUCUCGAUUCAAUGACCUUGCAAACCUUUGCCCAGGAAUGGUGACCCCGGAAGACAGGAAGAUUGAAAGGUACAUCUGGGGCCUAGCUUCACCUGUUCAAGGUCUGGUGACGGCAUCCAAACCCUCCACUUUCGAUAGUGCUAAGCAAUUAGCCUAUCAGUUGACUGGACAGUGUGUCCGGCAGGGUACCAUGAACCCACCGGCAGAGAAGAAGAACACUGGAGGCACCAAAAGGAAGUUUCAUGGGGAAACAAAGGAGGACUCCAACCAUCACAAGGUUGAACCAGAACCAUUAGCUGUCUACGCCGCAGUUACCAACACUCCCACACCAACUAAGUCCUACUAUGGGACUUUACCUCAUUGUAUAAAGUGCAAUUUCCAUCAUGUCGGAAAUUGCAGGGAGGUGAUCUGCAACAAGUGUAACAUGAGAGGUCACAUCUCGAGGUACUGUAGAAGAAACCCAACCACUACGGCAGAAGGAAUUCGUAACUGUUACGAGUGCAAUCAGCCAGGGCAUUUUAGGAAGGACUGCCCACAACUAAAGAACCAAGGUGGCAAUGGAAGGGUACUUAUGAUCACAGCAGGAGAGGCUCUUCCGGAACCACCUGUGGUUAUUGGUACGUUUCAUAACAACAAUGUUUAGGCCUCGGUAUUUAUUAAUACUAGUGCCAAUUAAAGUUUUAUCGACCAUAGGUUUCAAAACGCGACUAAACAUGAAACCUAUGCAGUAGCUAUAACAAAAAUUACUUGCUAGUUGCCUUAUCACUCUAGUUAAUCAUGCCAUUCACAUAAAAACUAAGGACCCUUGCUGGUAAUCUAUGCUUGCUAAGUGUAUACGUUAGGGUUGUAUAUAAUUAAGAUUCUACAAACUUAGGAUUCGUGAUUCCGCUUUACUUCCUGUUCCUUGUUUGGUUGUGGGCUUAGGGUAGAAUCACUUAUUCGACUGUCUAUUCGAUAUUGAUUAUAUACGACUUGUAUACACCAAGGGAAUGUAGAAGGACCAGCCAGGGAUCAUGCACCACGUAAGUACAUUACUAUUUAUCGAUAUGGCAAAAGUACUCCCUAGUUGCUUUCUCACCCGAAUUAAUCACAUCAUUCAUAUAGAAACUAAAAACUCUUGCUGGUAAUAUAUGAUUACUAAGUGUAUACGUUAGGGUUGUAUAUAAUUAAGAUUAUGAGGACUUAGGAUUUGUGAUUCUGCGUUAAUUCCUGUUUCUUGUUUGGUUGUGGGCUUAGAGUAGAAUCACUUAUUCGAUUGUCUACUCAAUCUUGAUUAUAUACGACUUGUAUGCACAAGGCGAUAUAGAAGGACCAGGCAUGGAUCAUACCACGAAAGUAUAUUAUUAUUUAUCAAAGCCCUUGUACUACCAGUACCAACUCAAUUUCGGGACGAAAUUUCCUUUAACGGGGAGGUAAUGUGACAACCCGGAAUUUAGGGCUACUAUUAUACAAUCUAUCCGUGAAUCUCUUGUUUAUCCGAAUUACUAAUUUUUAAUGCAUCUGAAGUAAAACAAAUAAUUUUAUUCCAAUUAUUAUAUGAUGUCAUAUGAUACAUUGCUUCCGAGUGUGUAAAUUGUCAACAAAAUCAAACCGCUUAAAUGACAACGUUAAUCAAUACGUCUCAAAAACUGAAAUUUUGCAUUAAGCAGUUUUGAGAAAAACAAACAUUAAAAUAUUAUAUUACAUGUUCCCCUGUUUCCGAAAAUAUAAAGAACGUCCAAAACGGAGUUCAUGUGCAAAAGAUACGACAUUUUUAAGAAAACAGACAGUAAAACACUGUUUUUCUUUAAUCGCGUAAAACUGAAUCGAUCCGUUGAGGCACUUCCGCUUUGCCGACGGGAUUUCCGAGAGCGUUUUCGUACUCAGGCUAUAGUCUAUUAUUUAAUUUCACACUCAAAAUAUUUUUAAUAAAGAUAUUUACAAAAGUCGCGAAAACGGACACCGCGGGCCGUUUAGACGCAAAACCUUCAAACGCAAUUUCCCGGAGUUCCGUAACUCCAAAAAUUAAUCCGUUUGAUGAUCUAGAAUCCUUGAAUUAAACUCUAUCCAAUGGUACUUUCAAAAAAAAUUAUUGACUUUUGGAUCUCGAUAAACCCGAUUUAGAGUGUUUUUAAGUAGUUAAUGGGGGUGUAACCACAUGUGGGGGCCACUAGGCUUAUGAGAAGCAAAAAAAAAAUCACAGCUCAUUUCUCCUUGUACUCCCCACGUGACCUUGGCCUUCUUUCUUGCUUGCACACCUCACUAACAUAGUACAAGGAAUGGCUCUCCAAAGGAUGUGUGAGACCCUUCAAGCUAUAAAUAGAAGGCUCAAGACCCUCUUCCAUUCAUCAAUUCGUCAGCCAUCUUCCCUUCGUCUCUCUCAAUCUCGAUCUUCUACCUAAAAUCUCUCUCUCUCAUUCCCGGUUUCAAAUUUACCCCACUGCCACCCCAUUAUUCCCAUUGGGAAAACAACCUCUACCACCCUCCCUUGCUGUUGUGUGCUACUUAAUAACCUGCCCCACCCUCCUCUUCAUCAGAAUCUGCCGGAGGAAGCAAGGAAAACGAAGGCACUCAAAGACCACCACCUCGUCACCAACCUUCUGCCACAGUGAAAAUCACCAGCCACCACCGUCCUUCACUCCUGCUAAUGCUUCGAAGCUAAAUAAAUCUCGAUGAUUCGUAUUCGCGGCAAUACAACUUGCUUUUUCUCGCAACAAUUACUCGACAACCGGUGAGUGUAACGGCCCCACUUUUACAUAUUUUCGGGGGGGAAUACAUGUGGUACUUCUAUAUCCAGUAUAUAUCUAUUUUAUAAAUACUUUUUUUAAACAAACAACACCACCAUUUUUUAUGCAAUAUAAAUCACACGGAAAUAGUAUUUAUUACGCUACUAUUUACGGUACGGGGAAUCUGGUUUGAAGGGCCGAAUGGGUUGCUGGAUUUCAGAAGUGCUAAAAUGCCAAAAUGGUCAUACCCUCGGUGUUUCAUGUCUGGCCCUCGUCUGUACAUGAUAGUACGUGUACUAAAUAAUAUUUAUCAUACGAAAUACACAAAAAAAAUAUCAUUGUUUUGUGUAAAUACUUUACCAGUUUUAGAAAUAAUUGUUUAAACGCUUACAUGUUAAGUAAACAAAAAAUGUUUUAAACCUCAAUAGCUACAUAUGUUAUGUUGUUAAAGAUAAUACAACUAAUAAAAAAUAACAUAUACGUUCCAACUAAAACUGUGCUAUGACUGUAUAGCCAGUUAUUAACUUGGUAGUUUCAUUAUACCUCAUACAUACACAAAAAUAUAUAAGUUUAUAUAUUUUACGAGUUAUAGAGCUCGUAUCUUAGACUCAUGUAUAUGCUUGUACUCAAAGUUUUAUCAAUUGUUUAAAAAAGUAUCGUACUCUUCAAUGUGUACGCUUAUCAAGUAUACUUGUUAAUUACCUGUUUAUCCGUAUCUGCGGUUGUUAAGUUCAACAUUGGCAGAUAACUUUAUCCGUAUAUCCGUAUGUCUGUUUAUGACAUAAAUAUAUAGGUUUAUACAUUUAUACAAGUUAUAGAACUUGUAUCUUAGGCUCAUACAUGUGCUUGUGUACACUAUACUAAGUUUUGUCAACUGUUUAAACAAGUAUCGUACACUUUACGUGUAUACUUAUCAAAUAUACUUGUUUUUUUUAUCCGUAUCUACGGUUGUUAAGUUCAACCUUAGCAGAUAACUGUAUCCGUAUAUCCGUAUGUUUGUUUAACCAUAUAUGUGCUUGUUAAGUACAACCUUGGCAGAAAACUUUAUUCGUUACCCGUACAACCAUGGAUUUGGUUGCUUUCAAACACAGUUUAAGUAUGUAAUUACUUAUGGAACAUAACAUUUUGGCUUUCAAAGAUUCAUUACAAACACAGUUUUAUGUAUGGGUUUACAUAUACAAACUAUACAUUUUGGCUUUUAAAGACUCAUUGCAAACACUGUUUUAACUGUUGUUAUACAUACAAAGAUAAUAAUUUUUAGACUUAUUAAAAGUAUUACUGUGUUAGCAGAAAACCUGUGACACUCACCAACCUUUGUGUUGACUUUCAAACUUACAUGUAUUCUCAGGGGAUCCUUAGACAAGCUUUCAG